GACGAACGCUGGCGGCGUGCUUAACACAUGCAAGUCGAACGGAAAGGCCCUGCUUUUGUGGGGUGCUCGAGUGGCGAACGGGUGAGUAACACGUGAGUAACCUGCCCUUGACUUUGGGAUAACUUCAGGAAACUGGGGCUAAUACCGGAUAGGAGCUCCUGCUGCAUGGUGGGGGUUGGAAAGUUUCGGCGGUUGGGGAUGGACUCGCGGCUUAUCAGCUUGUUGGUGGGGUAGUGGCUUACCAAGGCUUUGACGGGUAGACGGCCUGAGAGGGUGACCGGCAACAUUGGGACUGAGAUACGGCCCAGACUCCUGCGGGAGGCAGCAGUGGGGAAAAUUGCAAAAUGGGCGGAAGCCUGAUGCAGCAACGCCGCGUGCGGGAUGAAGGCCUUCGGGUUGUAAACCGCUUUCGCCUGUGACGAAGCGUGAGUGACGGUAAUGGGUAAAGAAGCACCGGCUAACUACGUG
rnacentral:rRNA from 1 species